CACGUAGGGGGCGAGCGUUGUCCGGAAUUAUUGGGCGUAAAGAGCUCGUAGGCGGUCUGUCGCGUCGGAUGUGAAAACCCAGGGCUCAACCCUGGGCCUGCAUUCGAUACGGGCUAGCUAGAGUGUGGUAGGGGAGAUCGGAAUUCCUGGUGUAGCGGUGAAAUGCGCAGAUAUCAGGAGGAACACCCGUAGCGAAGGCGGUUCUCUGGGCCAAUACUGACGCUGAGGAGCGAAAGCGUGGGGAGCAAACAGG
rnacentral:rRNA from 1 species